rnacentral:lncRNA from 1 species
UAAAGCGAAUAAAUAGAGACAGCAGGUGGUUUCAGUUCUGGGUUAAUGGUUAGGGCUCAUGAGACGGUAGUGGAAGAAUGGUGGUUCGAAACUGAGAUGACGGAAUCGAUGGGUUGAAGGUGAAUAGAUGGUGGUGAUUGGAGCUGUAGGCUUGAUUCCCGUCGGAUUAGGGUUCUGCAAGGGCAGCGACGCUGACGAAUUAGACUAAGGUCAAUGAGGCUGAUUGCGGCAAUAGUAACGUUUUCCGAUGCCAUAUGCUGUAGAAUACGGGCCUAUAAAGGUAACUUGAUAUUCUUUAACCUAGCAUCAAGCUCCUAGCUUUUUACAUCAUUCUCAUGUUUGUUGAUCUUGCAUCCUUGCUAACAGUCGCCAUCUACAUUCUCAGAUUAGUUAGACAACUUGAUCGAGUUCGAUGCUGAAUAACUUACCAUGGUCGACUGUCGGACUUGCCAUUGCUAUUGUGGUGCUUCUGCUGAAUAACUUCCUAUUCCUAACUUGGACUUACCUAUUGUGUCCAUAGUUGCAAGUCAUAGAUGUGGCAAAAUGCCUGUGGGUCAAUCUGCAAUCGGGAGGGUAAUCCGGUAACUAAGGCUACAAGUCAAUGGAACCUGAUUGGG